rnacentral:rRNA from 1 species
CGUAGGGGGCAAGCGUUGUCCGGAAUCAUUGGGCGUAAAGCGCGUGUAGGCGGUUCGGUAAGUCGGCUGUGAAAGUCCAGGGCUCAACCCUGGGAUGCCGGUCGAUACUGCCGGACUAGAGUUCGGAGGAGGCGAGUGGAAUUCCCGGUGUAGCGGUGAAAUGCGCAGAUAUCGGGAGGAACACCAAUGGCGAAGGCAGCUCGCUGGGACGUUACUGACGCUGAGACGCGAAAGCGUGGGGAGCAAACAGGAUUAGAUACCCUGGUAGUCCACGCCGUAAACGAUGGGCACUAGGUGUGGGAGGUGUCGACUCCUCCCGUGCCGGAGCUAACGCAUUAAGUGCCCCGCCUGGGGAGUACGGCCGCAAGGCUA